rnacentral:rRNA from 1 species
UACGUAGGGGGCAAGCGUUGUCCGGAAUCAUUGGGCGUAAAGAGCGUGUAGGCGGCCCGAUAAGUCCGCCGUGAAAGUCCAGGGCUCAACCCUGGAAUGCCGGUGGAAACUGUCGGGCUGGAGUCCGGAAGAGGCGAGUGGAAUUCCUGGUGUAGCGGUGAAAUGCGCAGAUAUCAGGAGGAACACCGGUGGCGAAGGCGGGUCUCUGGGCCGAUACUGACGCUGGAGGAGCGAAAGCGUGGGAGCGAACAGG